rnacentral:lncRNA from 1 species
CCAAAGUCAAAACAGGGAGUUUUAAGAUUAGUGAUACGGAGCAUUUUUGUUAUAACAGAAUAGUCCACGUCAUUUUAUUUGUAACCUAUUUAAAUCUGCAUGUUUUGCAUGAGAUUUUCAAGGAAUUACUCAUCAAACAAUUCUCUCAGUCUUUCUCUUUUCUCUUUCAAAUCUUUCUCUAUUCUCUAUUCGGAUUUUC